GACGAACGCUGGCGGCGUGGAUUAGGCAUGCAAGUCGAACGGUAUCAUCCUUUCGGGGGUGAGAGAGUGGCGAACUGGUGAGUAACACGUAGGUUAUCUACCCUCAAGACGGGGACAACCCAGGGAAACUUGGGCUAAUACCGGAUGUGAGCAACUUUUAGUUGUUUGAAAGGUGGCGUAAGCUGUCGCUUGGGGAUGAGCCUGCGUCCUAUUAGUUAGUUGGUGAGGUAACGGCUCACCUAGGCAAUGAUAGGUAGGCGGCCUUAACGGGUGGUCGCCCACACUGGGGAUUGAGAUACGGCCCAGACUCCUACGGGAGGCAGCAGUCGAGAAUAGUCUACAAUGGUCGGAAGACUGAUAGUGCGACGCCGCGUGAACGAUGAAUCCCUUCGGGGUGUAAAGUUCUUUUAUAUGUGAGCAGUGCUUCUUAUAUUAACAGUAUGGGGAGAGAGAUAUUAGCAUAUGAAUAAGCAACGGCUAACUCCGUGCCAGCAGCCGCGGUAAACUACG
rnacentral:rRNA from 1 species